UCCCUGGUGGUCCAGUGGCUAAGACUCCACGUUCUCAGUGCAGGGGUCCAGGUUCAAUUCCUGGUCAGGGAA
rnacentral:tRNA from 1 species